ACGAGCCGCCUUGUCUGUUGACAGGGCGGUUUUUGCCAUGAUAAAGUUCGAUUAUCAAACUAUUUCAACAUCGAACUUGUACAAGAAAGGAGG
rnacentral:sRNA from 1 species